CUGCCGGAGGCUAUUGCUAUCGGGGUCCGAUUCACCCAUGCUAGUUGUACGGGUUUAGACCCGUAGCAAAUAGCUCCGUAACACGUGGUCACUACCCUCUGGACCGGGAUAUCCUCGGGAAACUGAGGUCAAUCCCAGAUACUGCUUUCAUGUUGGAACACAGAAAGUCGGAAACGGUCCGCCGCCGGAGGACGUGACUGCGGCCGAUUAGGUAGACGGUGGGGUAACGGCCCACCGUGCCGAUAAUCGGUACGGGUUGUGAGAGCAAGAACCCGGAGACGGUAUCUGAGACAAGAUACCGGGCCCUACGGGGCGCAGCAGGCGCGAAACCUUUACACUGCACGCCAGUGCGAUAAGGGGACCCCGAGUGCGAGGGCAUACAGUCCUCGCUUUUCGUGACCGUAAGAAGGUCUCAGAAUAAGAGCUGGGCAAGACCGGUGCCAGCCGCCGCGGUAAUACCGGCAGCUCGAGUGAUAGCCACUAUUAUUGGGCCUAAAGCGUCCGUAGCCGGCCGAACAGGUCCGUCGGGAAAUCCACCCGCUCAACGGGUGGACGUCCGGCGGAAACCAGUCGGCUUGGGGCCGGGAGACCAGAGAGGUACGUCCGGGGUAGGAGUGAAAUCCUGUAAUCCUGGACGGACCGCCGGUAGCGAAAGCGUCUCUGGAGAACGGACCCGACGGUGAGGGACGAAAGCUUGGGUCUCGAACCGGAUUAGAUACCCGGGUAGUCCAAGCUGUAAACGAUGCUCGCUAGGUGUGGCGUUGGCUACGAGCCAGCGCUGUGCCGUAGGGAAGCCGAGAAGCGAGCCGCCUGGGAAGUACGUCCGCAAGGAUGAAACUUAAAGGAAUUGGCGGGGGAGCACUACAACCGGAGGAGCCUGCGGUUUAAUUGGAU
rnacentral:rRNA from 1 species